UACGUAGGUGGCAAGCGUUGUCCGGAUUUACUGGGCGUAAAGAGCGCGCAGGCGGUCGUACAAGUCGCGUGUGAAAGCCCCCGGCUCAACUGGGGAGGGUCACGCGAUACUGUUCGACUCGAAGGCAGGAGAGGGAAGCAGAAUUCCCGGUGUAGUGGUGAAAUGCGUAGAUAUCGGGAGGAACACCAGUGGCGAAGGCGGCUUUCUGGCCUGCUCUUGACGCUGAGGCGCGAAAGCUAGGGUAGCAAACGGG
rnacentral:rRNA from 1 species